CGUGCAUAACACAUUCAAGUCGAACGGAGUCAGAUCACUUAAUCCUUCGGGAAGCGGUGAUCCGGCUUAGUGGCGGACGGGUGAGUAACGCGUGAGCAACCUGCCUCUAUGUACGGGAUACGUUGGGGAACUGACCCCAAUACCGUAUAAACAAAUAUUACCGCAAGAUAAGUAAGUUAAAGAAUUAUUGCAUAGGGAUGGGCUUGCGUCUGAUUAGAUAGUUGGUGAGGUAACGGCCCACCAAGUCUACGAUCAGUAGCCGGACUGAGAGGUUGAACGGCCACAUUGGAACUGAGAUACGGUCCAGACUCCUACGGGAGGCAGCAGUGGGGAAUAUUGGGCAAUGGGCGAAAGCCUGACCCAGCGACGCCGCGUGAGGGAAGAAGGUCUUCGGAUUGUAAACCUUUGUUGACAGGGAAGAAGAAAGUGACGGUACCUGUCGAGGAAGCCACGGCUAACUACGUGCCAGCCGCCGCAGUAACAC
rnacentral:rRNA from 1 species